CCCAGGUCCGCAAACCCGGAGUACGGACUCCGCUGUAAAGUUUCGGUGGGGAUCGCCCGGGGUGCUCGGCCCGCGGAAACAGUUUCGUUCUUCCCACAGUUGGAACUGGUCGUUUUGUGACACUGUUCCACUACUUCGUGGCGGUGCUAGGCUCUCCCUCCGAUCCUUGGCCCGGGAAAUAAGCCAGGGUUUUACUCUUUUGUUGGUAAGCGUUUGUUGAAGGUGAAGGUCAGAGACAGUUCUAGAGGAAAAGCAUCUCCGCGAAAUCCACUCUCCCGCGGAGCGUCACAACCGUCCUCUCUCCAAAUGCCCCAAGUAUCCACAACCUACUACCAGGAGCCGGGUAUUUUGCAAGACCCCGGAGAACAAGAGUCAGUCACAUAGACAUACUCUCCAUCACACCUGUGGGACGUGGCAGAGCUCCGAAGCCAGUGCUUCCGCUCUUUGCAGUUCCCAUGCUCAUUCAUCCUCUAUACAAGUUCAAAACUACAUCGAGUUCUCCACGAUUCUUCUGUGGAAAGUGAAUGCAGGAUGGAAAUGCUCUGGUUGACCUGUUUCAUGGUCAUGAAGUGUCAUUACAGAGUCCAACCAGACUAAAAUAACAUAGGUGGCCCAUGUUUGUUAUCCUAGCACUCCAGAGGUGGAAACAUGAAGAUCACAAGUGACAGGCAAGCCUGGGUUACACAGCAAGUGCAAAGGCUGCUUGGACUGCAAAUCAAGACCCCCAUCUCAGCAAACAAGCAAUAAAAUAGCAUCUAUAGAUUCUG